rnacentral:rRNA from 1 species
UACAGAGGCCUCGAGCGUUGCGCGGAAUCACUGGGCUUAAAGGGUGCGUAGGCGGAUGUACAAGUGCCUUGUGAAAUCCCCGGGCUCAACCCGGGAACUGCUUGGUAGACUGUAUGUCUUGAGGUCGGUAGGGGUCGCUGGAACAGUUGGUGGAGCGGUGAAAUGCGUAGAUAUCAACUGGAACGCCAAAGGUGAAGACAAGCGACUGGGCCGAUUCUGACGCUGAGGCACGAAAGCGUGGGGAGCAAACGGGAUUAGAUACCCCGGUAGUCCACGCCCUAAACGAUGUACACUAGAUCGUGGAGGCUCUGACGCCCUCAUGGUCGAAGCAAAAGUAUUUAGUGUACCGCCUGGGGAGUACGGUCGCAAGAUUA